rnacentral:rRNA from 1 species
UGGGGAAUCUUAGACAAUGGGCGCAAGCCUGAUCUAGCCAUGCCGCGUGAGCGAUGAAGGCCUUAGGGUUGUAAAGCUCUUUCAGUGGGGAAGAUAAUGACGGUACCCACAGAAGAAGCCCCGGCUAACUCCGUGCCAGCAGCCGCGGUAAUACGGAGGGGGCUAGCGUUGUUCGGAAUUACUGGGCGUAAAGCGCACGUAGGCGGAUCAGAAAGUCAGAGGUGAAAUCCCAGGGCUCAACCUUGGAACUGCCUUUGAAACUCCUGAUCUUGAGGUCGAGAGAGGUGAGUGGAAUUCCGAGUGUAGAGGUGAAAUUCGUAGAUAUUCGGAGGAACACCAGUGGCGAAGGCGGCUCACUGGCUCGAUACUGACGCUGAGGUGCGAAAGCGUGGGGAGCAAACA